UUAAGUAUAAAAGAUAACUAAAAAUACUUAGUUAAAAAUUCAUUUUCUACAAGUCUUACAAACCUAUAAAUGAAUACUUGGAAAAUCAUUAAUUGGGCGAGACUUCCAAAAAUUUGUUUUGUGGUCAUCACCCAGUUUCAAGGUAACAUUAUCUUGAGUUAACUAAAGAUGAGCUCAGGUACCUGCCAAAUGGAGGAGGAUAUGUGGUACUGAAUUUUGAUAUUUAUUUCUAAGAUCAAUUGGACCAUUGAGUACUUGAAGAAAUGAAAUUCCACAAGAACUUCAACAAACUUCCCUUAUUGCAAAUCUAGACCAUGUCUUCAAUGGGUUGGUAGACCUUUCUCCAAGCUAUUGUCACCAUCUUUUUCGAAGAGAUACGCUCACACCAAAUAAAAUUUUAAAUUUAAGUAUAUAAAGAUUUUAUAAGAGCAUCAUGUUAGGAAUACAAAUGAAAACUGUAUAAAAGCAUACCAUGGAUAAUAAUGUUCGCCGACUGUACUCUUCCCAUCGCAGACAACAUUACUCCUUAAUUUCGAGACUGAUAAUUUGUCUUUAAUACAAUCAAUAAUAGGCAUAAAAUGCAUUUUCUGAGGAUUCCCUUUGAAAAUAGGAACACCUAAAUUAAUAAAGUGAAGUUAGCCUAGAUGAAAGUCAAGAAGAGCCACCAAGUUGAAGCUCUAGUUGUAGAUAUAGAGCCUAUGAAAAUUUUUGACUUAUCAUUAUUACUGAUCAAUUUGCCGAGAAGCAUGCUCGUAAUGAUGGAAAAUCCUCAUCAGAGUAGUUAAACUGGAAUGCAUGCAAAACAUGGAUGGGCAUCUUAGAGACCCUGUGACCAAACAUAAGUUGUAGCUUUCCUUUGUUAACAAGAGGUCAUAUGCCUAUACUAAGAACUUCCUUCUCGAACUCUUAUUUUAAAGUUAAAAAGUCCCACAACUUUGCGAUCCAUAGAUAUAAACAGCUUGGCAGACUUAAAAAUGGUAAGGAUCCAGUCACAAAAGGUGUUAUUAAAGCCAAAUGCAUGCAAAAUGGCAACAAAAAAAAUUACAAUCAAUAAGUCUGCCCUUAACAAAACCUCUUUGGUUCUCAAAGAUGAUUUUUUAGAAACAAUAAACAUCUUAUCAGCCAAGACAUUGGUGAUGAUUUUGAAAUUGACAGUUUUAUAUGGCAAUAGGCCGAAUUUGAUCAAUGUGCGCUACCUCACGAAUUUUAAGGAUGACCACCACAAUAAUAGAAUUGGAAUUAAGCAUCAACUAACCCAAUUGAAAAUUUGAAGGACAUAGUCAAAAACAAAUGGACCAAUGUUGUCCCAAAAAGUAUUGUAGAAAUGACCCUCAAAACCAUCAAGAUCUAGAGCAUUGAUGCCAUUCAUAUUAAAGACAACAUUUUUAACUUCGUCGAAAGAAGGAAAAGCUAUCAAAAUAGAAUUAUCCUCCUUUGUCACAAUUGAAGGAAUAACAGAGGCAACCAAACUAUUGGGUUCAUAAAUAUUAUUUGUAAGAGUGUGACUCUCAAUAUCAACAAGAGCAAUCAAGAGUUGAUCAUCAUGCUUCAAAAUAUAAAUAUGUUUAAUGACUCCACAAUAAUGGGCAACUUUAUGAAAAUAUCUAGUGUUCUUAUCACCAAACAAAUUCCAAUUUAAUCUUGAAUUUUCAGGCCAAAACCUCUCUUCAGUGUCGAGAGCACGCUGAAGCAAAAUCUAAGCAUUUUUCUUCUGUUGAAAAAGGGUAUCAUAAUUACCCUACUCAUUAAUUUGAUGUUGGAUAACAUCAUCUUUUGAUAUACAUUUAGAAACAUGAGUAAGAACAUCACCAAAAACAUUUUUAUUCCAAACCAUCAUCUUUGAUAAAGUUUAUACAGUCCAGAUGGUUGGACCACAUUUUCAUAAAGGAAGAGGCAUGCCUCUCAUCAAAAGUGCCAACAUAUAAUAAUAUAUGAUAGUGAUCAGAUUUGGAUCUAGUAAUUGUACUACAAUCAACCUUGGACCAAGAAGAAAUCCAAGCAUCAUUACAAAUAUAGCGAUAAAGACGUCUAUAAAUAUGAUUAUUUUCCAAAUGACCAUUAGAACAAGUAAAGUGAGGUACCCGAGUGGGAUUAUGAUUAAGAUGACAAAUAUUAGUCCAACUACUAAAAUUAUCAUAGGGAAAUUUGAGUAGGAGGACGACAACCUCAAUGCUCGUGAGCCCCUAAGAUAAAAUUAAAAUCACCAUCAAGAUGCCAAAGGCCACUUUGAAUUUGCUAUAAAUUAGCUAACGCCAACCAGAGCUCACGACGUAGCUUGUAAUUGUUGAAGCAUACACAUCAUAGAAAAAAAAAAAAAAACAAGAUUAUCAUGACUAAAGGAGAAACUUACCUAUUGAGCUUGGUUAGAUAUAAUAUUUGGAUCGAAAAAGGCACCGUAAGUUGGGGGAAAUGCUCUCUCUCUCAUUUUCAAAAAAAGUCUUCAUGUGAAUAAUGUUGAGAUAAGACGUUAAAAUUUGAGUUAAAGAAAUCCAAGGUUUCGCAAUUAAAAGAAAAUUUGGGUUAUGAGAAAGACAAAAUUUUCAGAUAAGAUUGAGUCUCAAAAUUCCUAACUCAUCCCAAUAUUUUCAAGAGUUAAUCUACGAAAAUAAAGAAGAUAAGAGAGAUUGUGCCCCCAAUUCCAAACCAACCCAUUAACUUUCAAGAAAAACAUAAUUCUCACUAUGCUUAUGAAAUUUGGUUGGAUGAG
rnacentral:lncRNA from 1 species